UGAGGGAAUAUUGGGACAAUGGAGGCAACUCUGAUCCAGCCAUGCCGCGUGAAGGACUAAGGCCCUAUGGGUCGUAAACUUCUUUUGACGCAGAGCAAUAAGGAUUACGUGUAGUCUGAUGAGAGUAUGCGUCGAAUAAGCAUCGGCUAACUCCGUGCCAGCAGCCGCGGUAAUACGGAGGAUGCAAGCGUUAUCCGGAUUUAUUGGGUUUAAAGGGUGCGUAGGCGGAUGGGUAAGUCAGCGGUGAAAUGUCCCGGCUCAACCGGGGAACUGCCAUUGAUACUGCUUGUCUUGAAUGCGGAUGCCGUGGGAGGAAUGUGUAGUGUAGCGGUGAAAUGCAUAGAUAUUACACAGAACACCGAUUGCGAAGGCAUCUCGCGAAUCCGUUAUUGACGCUGAGGCACGAAAGCGUGGGGAUCAAACA
rnacentral:rRNA from 1 species